rnacentral:lncRNA from 1 species
CACAUCACUUGCCGGGGACGAAGUUGGUGGCGUACGCCCAUGCGUUGUUGGCGACGGGGUCGGCGACGUGGUCGAAGAGGUUCUCGAUGGGUCCCUUGCCGGUGACGAUGGCCUGCACGAAGAACCCGAACAUGGAGAACAUGGCGAGGCGGCCGUUCUUGAGCUCCUUCACCUUGAGCUCGGCGGCGGUGUCCGGGUCGUCGGCGAGGCCCAGCGGGUCGAAGGCGCCGCCGGGGUAGACCUUGUCGAGUCCCUCCCCGAGCGGGCCGCCGCCGACGCGGUAGCCCUCGACGAAGCCCAUGAGCACGACCUGGCAGGCCCAGAUGGCCAGGAUGCUCUGCGCGUGCACCAGGUUGGGGUUGCCCAG